ensembl:lncRNA
UACAGAUUUUCCAAACACUUUAACAGCCCCUAAACUGGGCUUUAGACUUCUUUAGCUUGGCCUGUUGGCAUUUCUCUGUCUUUAUACUUCUUGAAGCAGGGAUAAACUGCUUGCUUAUUUGAAAACAAAAGCAUGUAAACUAUAGGCCACCGAUAGUGCCCAUGUUGAAGAAUCUCACUCCUAAGCUACAGUCAGAAGAGUAUUAGAAAGAAAAACAAGAACAGGAGGCAAGUCCACAACGAUGUAGGAACUUCUCAUAAACCACUUAUCACUUUGGCAAAUAAUGCUAAUUACUCUGCAAGCUUUCUCUAUAGCCCUAGGGCACGGUGUGAGACUUUUGAUUUGCCCGAGUGCUACUUUCAGAGGUUCAAGCCACAGAAUGGAUCUUCAAUUCAAUGCCUGCAUUCAUGUAUGCAGCCCUCCCUAGUGUCAAGCUUUCCCUGGUCUUUACACUAGAGCACCUGCCAACUCUUCUAUAGGCAAGUCAUGGGGUCGUCAUAGGGGAGCAAUGUUUCCCCAAAUGUAUGCUUUUCUUUCAGAUAAUUCUCCCAGAACACUCCACUGACCCUUUUUGCCUUAGUGAUGGAAGAACGUUUUUAGGUGAGCUGGUGCAUUUUACAUAAUGUGUUCCCAGAUGCUUUCCAUGAAUGAUUCAGGCCAGGGUAAGCUGCAUAGAAUUCUGGUGCCGUGGCCGGAAGAAAGCCGCACUCUGUUUAAGCAUGAGUGUUGUGUUGUGAGCAGGCUGAGUAAUGAAGUUCUGUGGCUGACUAGUCCAAGGAGAAGCUGAUGCUGAUCAAAGAACACCUGAUACAGCUGCAAACUGCCAGCUAGUAAAUCUAUAUGGAAAUUUACAAUCUACAUGGGGAAUACUUUUGUGAAUCUGAAUUUUGGGGGAGGAGAUGAAAGUUUUCAUGUAUUAUUUUUUAUUUGUGUGAGUACAUGUGGAAGCCACACACCUGCUACAGAUGUUGCUCAAGGAAACACAUAAAUUUGGCUUAUAACAGGCUGAAAUAUUUUAAAUGUGAAAAGUGUACAAAAGAGUAGAACAGAAUCCUCAAAGACCAUACUAGGCACAUCAUCGUGAAAAGGAACUACACGGAUUUCUGCUGCUUUGGCAUAUCCCAACAUCAUGGCCAGCUGACUCUAACCAUAAAAGGCUUCCUGUAGAAGAGAAGAAAGGGGCAAAACAGAUUCACAAGAGGACUGGAAGGAGAGAUUUUAACACUUAGGAGGUGGAAGAGACUAAUGAGAUAGACACCAAGCCAUAAGAAUAAUAAUUUCCAAAAGUACCCUGGCUAGCCUCAACCUUGUUCGAAAUGUACUUGUACACAAUUACUUUGUGUAAUACUUUGAAGUUUUUGGAGGGCUUCUUCUCAAGCAGUGAUUCUCAAAUUGUAAUGUGUAUCAGAAUUGCCCAAAGAGUUUGCUAAAACACAGGUUUCAACUCAGUAGGUCUAUGAAGGGCCUGAGAAUGUGUAUGUUUAACAAGUCAGAAAUGCUGUUUGUUUGAGAUCCACACAUUGAGAACAACUUAGUUAAGAUUUUUGAAGUUAAAUUUUUUGUGUAUUUUUUUAUAUUUUCCACUUUUCAUUUUUGCUGAUACACACACACACACACACACACACACACACAUACACACGCACACACAUGGCCCUCCGACAAGACCUAGAAUUUGCUUCAGAGUCCAGGAAUCAUGAGAUUACUGCUGACUGAAGACAGCUAGAAUAACACCAGGUUUAGUACCUCUCAUGCUGACCCCACAAGACACUUACAACAUUAGAGGAACAGAGGAGGAAGUUCUGCAAGUGUAACUUUUGUUUUUUAUUUGCCAAACAGAGGAACGAGAAUCUCUUGGAAUUCUAGCUAGAAGGUAUGUAUUAUACUAGGAAGGAAAUAAGGAUAAAAAAGAAUCAUAAGCUAUGGCCAAAUAUUAGUUUGUUAAUAGUUUUACAGAAUAUCAUGCACCUCUAACAGAGAAGUUUGAAUGCAUGAAGUCCUGAACAUAAAGCUGACUAGCAAUAUAUAAGAAUUAGACCGGAGGCAUAAGUUUAUAAUAUAUAAAAAUAAGUUAUGAGACAAGUCCACAUUAUGUUAAGAAGAAUCAUUAAUUUUAUCAAAGACAGCUGAAGUUGGACUAGCUGAGAAAAUAGUAUGUAU